rnacentral:rRNA from 1 species
GACGAACGCUGGCGGCGUGCUUAACACAUGCAAGUCGAACGGCAAGGCCCUGCUUUUGUGGGGUGCUCGAGUGGCGAACGGGUGCGUAACACGUGAGUAACCUGCUCUUGACUUUGGGAUAACUUCAGGUAACUGGAGUUAAUCCCGGAUAGGAGAUCCUGCUGCAUGGUGGGGGUUGGAAAGUUUCGGCGGUUGGGGAUGGACUCGCGGGUUAUCAGCUUGUUGGUGGGGUAGUGGCUUACCAAGGCUUUGACGGGUCGCCGGCCUGAGAGGGUGACCGGCGACAUUGGUACUGAGAGACGGACCAGACUCCAACGGGAUGCAACAGGGGCGAAUAUUGUACAGUGGUCGGAAGCCUGAGGCAGCAGCUCUGCGUGCGGGAUGACGGCCUUCGGGUUGUAAACCGCUUUCGCCUGUGACGAAGCGUGAGUGACGGUAAUGGGUAAAGAAGCACCGGCUAACUACGUG